GGUGGCGAGUGGCGAACGGGUGAGUAAUACAUCGGAAUGUACCUUGUAGUGGGGGAUAGCUCGGCGAAAGCCGGAUUAAUACCGCAUACGCUCUGAGGAGGAAAGCGGGGGACCUUCGGGCCUCGUGCUACAAGAGCAGCCGAUGUCAGAUUAGCUAGUUGGUGGGGUAAAAGCUCACCAAGGCGACGAUCUGUAGCUGGUCUGAGAGGACGACCAGCCACACUGGGACUGAGACACGGCCCAGACUCCUACGGGAGGCAGCAGUGGGGAAUUUUGGACAAUGGGCGAAAGCCUGAUCCAGCAAUGCCGCGUGUGUGAAGAAGGCCUUCGGGUUGUAAAGCACUUUUGUCCGGAAAGAAAUCCUUUGGGUUAAUACCUCGGGGGGAUGACGGUACCGGAAGAAUAAGCACCGGCUAACUACGUGCCAGCAGCCGCGGUAAUACGUAGGGUGCAAGCGUUAAUCGGAAUUACUGGGCGUAAAGCGUGCGCAGGCGGUUUUGUAAGACGGAUGUGAAAUCCCCGGGCUUAACCUGGGAACUGCAUUCGUGACUGCAAGGCUAGAGUAUGGCAGAGGGGGGUAGAAUUCCACGUGUAGCAGUGAAAUGCGUAGAGAUGUGGAGGAAUACCGAUGGCGAAGGCAGCCCCCUGGGCCAAUACUGACGCUCAUGCACGAAAGCGUGGGGAGCAGACAGGAUUAGAUACCCUGGUAGUCCACGCCCUAAACGAUGUCAACUAGUUUGUUGGGGAUUCAUUUCCU
rnacentral:rRNA from 1 species